rnacentral:rRNA from 1 species
GACGAACGCUGGCGGCGUGCUUAACACAUGCAAGUCGAACGAUGAAGAAAAGAGUCUAAGCUUCGGCAGAAAUUCAUUGCGGAUUAGUGGCAGACGGGUUAGUAACGCGUGAGCAACCUACCUCUUACAAAGGGAUAGCCUCGGGAAACCGGGAUUAAUACCAUAUAACAUUGUGACGAAGCAUUUCGAUUCAAUCAAAGCUACGGCGGUAAGCGAUGGGCCCGCGUCCCAUUAGCCGGUUGGUGAGGUACCGGCUCACCAUAGCGACGCUGGGUAACCGACCUGAGAGGGUGAUCGGGGACACGGGAAGUGAGACACGGUCCAGACGCGUAAGGGAGGCAGCAGUAGGGAAUCUACGGCAAUGGGCGAAAGCCUGACGGAGCAACGAGGCGUGAGGGAUGAAGGUCUUCGGAUCGUAAAACUCUGUGAUUAGGGAAGAACAAAUGUGUAAGUAACUAUGCACGUCUUGACGGUACCUAAUCAGAAAGCCACGGCUAACUACGUG